AAGGCUUUUAUUAUCUGUGAGGAUUGCAAGUUCAGUACUCCUGCCUAUUUCAACUGUUUGAAACAGUCCGCUAUCCUAAUUUUUCUGAUUUUGGCAGUUUCUCUGACUGAAAGAUAAAAUCAUUCACUGGAGUUAGUGGCAUUGUGAUCGGUGAAGCAGUAGAAACAUUCACUGCUAAAAAAAUAUUGCUAUUAGCAUUGGAUUUUAGCAACUACGUAAUUCGGCUGUUGAAUCAAUAUCGGAAUAUUUAUAUAUGAUUGAAGGAUUUAGUAAUGGAAAAUCUUUUGCUGCGAAACAAUAAAUUAUCCAAGGAAGGAUACGAUUUUUCAUUGUUGAUGUGUCAACAUCAAAUCAGCAACGGAAAAAUUAAAAUAUUUAUUUCUUAAAUUCCCCUUCUCUCACUAGUCUCUUCCCGCUUCUCUAGAAAUUCAAAAUUCAAAAACUUUUGAUUUGUCUUUUUUUUUUUUUCAUUUAACCUUGAUAAAGCUGUUAUCGCAAGCAAGAUUGUUGAUGAAUAUGGGUCUCCUCUCAGAAAAGCACUUGAGUUCCUGAAACAGUCACAGACUCAGGAGCAUGCAUCGUCUCAUUUCCAGAGAAGCAUGGACUCUCUCCAUCAAAGAUCAUGGUUGGGAAGUCUCGGAUUGCACAGCUGAAGAUCUAAGGGUAAACAAGUUCAAUUUCUCUUUGUCGGAGUAAUUAAUGCCGUAAAGAUUAGGUUUGUGAGGAAGAAAAUCCUGGCUUUGCUUAUACUUUCACAAAUGCAGACAGAAAUUGUUUUAGAUUCUGUAGGUUUAAAUUAUGGAUAUUUUUAGAAUUCUAAAAGUUGAAUCAAAAUCCUCUGGUUUGGGGUGGACGUGUCCAAAUUUCUCACAUUGAGUAUGAACUACUUUUACAAUCUCAAUGGUAUUGACGCCUUCAAGAUUUUUCAAUGCAAACAUGAUAUUCCAUGUGCCAA